rnacentral:rRNA from 1 species
CAGUAGCCACGGUAAUACGGAGGGGGCUAGCGUUGUUCGGAAUUACUGGGCGUAAAGCGCACGUAGGCGGCUUGGUAAGUUAGAGGUGAAAGCCCAGGGCUCAACCCUGGAAUUGCCUUUAAGACUGCCGAGCUAGUAGGUGAGAGAGGUAAGUGGAAUUCCGAGUGUAGAGGUGAAAUUCGUAGAUAUUCGGAAGAACACCAGUGGCGAAGGCGGCUUACUGGCUCAUUCUAGACGCUGAGGUGCGAAAGCGUGGGGAGCAAACAGGAUUAGAUACCCGUGUAGUCCCUGUCUCUUAUAC